GACGAACGCUGGCGGCGUGCUUAACACAUGCAAGUCGAGCGGUAAGGCCCUUUCGGGGGUACACGAGCGGCGAACGGGUGAGUAACACGUGGGUGACCUGCCCUUAGCUCUGGGAUAAGCCUGGGAAACUGGGUCUAAUACCGGAUAUGACUCCAUGACGCAUGUUGUGGGGUGGAAAGCCUUGUGCGGCUAGGGAUGGGCCCGCGGCCUAUCAGCUUGUUGGUGGGGUGAUGGCCACCAAGGCGACGACGGGUAGCCGGCCUGAGAGGGCGACCGGCCACACUGGGACUGAGAUACGGCCCAGACUCCUACGGGAGGCAGCAGUGGGGAAUCUUGCGCAAUGGGCGAAGGCCUGACGCAGCGACGCCGCGUGAGGGAUGACGGCCU
rnacentral:rRNA from 1 species